AACGAACGCUGGCGGCAUGCCUAAUACAUGCAAGUCGAGCGAAUCAAUAGGAGCUUGCUCCUGUUGGUUAGCGGCGGACGGGUGAGUAACACGUGGGCAACCUGCCUGUAAGACUGGGAUAACACCGGGAAACCGGUGCUAAUACCGGAUAAUCCUUUUCCUCUCAUGAGGAAAAGCUGAAAGUCGGUUUCGGCUGACACUUACAGAUGGGCCCGCGGCGCAUUAGCUAGUUGGUGAGGUAACAGCUCACCAAGGCGACGAUGCGUAGCCGACCUGAGAGGGUGAUCGGCCACACUGGGACUGAGACACGGCCCAGACUCCUACGGGAGGCAGCAGUAGGGAAUCUUCCACAAUGGACGAAAGUCUGAUGGAGCAACGCCGCGUGAGCGAUGAAGGCCUUCGGGUCGUAAAGCUCUGUUGUUAGGGAAGAAUAAGUAUCGGAGUAACUGCCGGUACCUUGACGGUACCUAACCAGAAAGCCACGGCUAACUACGUGCCAGCAGCCGCCGUAAGAC
rnacentral:rRNA from 1 species